CCUACGGGAGGCAGCAGUGGGGAAUAUUGCACAAUGGGGGAAACCCUGAUGCAGCGACGCCGCGUGAGUGAAGAAGUAAUUCGGUAUGUAAAGCUCUAUCAGCAGGGAAGAAAAUGACGGUACCUGAGUAAGAAGCCCCGGCUAACUACGUGCCAGCAGCCGCGGUAAUACGUAGGGGGCAAGCGUUAUCCGGAUUUACUGGGUGUAAAGGGAGCGUAGACGGCAGUGCAAGUCUGGAGUGAAAGGCGGGGGCUCAACCCCCGGACUGCUCUUGAAACUGUACGGCUGGAGUGCAGGAGAGGUAAGUGGAAUUCCUAGUGUAGCGGUGAAAUGCGUAGAUAUGAGGAGGAACACCAGUGGCGAAGGCGGCUUACUGGACUGUAACUGACGUUGAGGCUCGAAAGCGUGGGGAGCAAACAGGAUUAGAUACCCGGGUAGUC
rnacentral:rRNA from 1 species